GCGCUGGUAGCUCAGUGGUAGAGCGGGGGCCUUUUAAGCCCAAGGUCGUGGGUCCGAUCCCCACCCAGCGCA
rnacentral:tRNA from 1 species